AAAUUGAAGAGUUUGAUCAUGGCUCAGAUUGAACGCUGGCGGCAGGCCUAACACAUGCAAGUCGAACGGUAACAGGAAGCAGCUUGCUGCUUUGCUGACGAGUGGCGGACGGGUGAGUAAUGUCUGGGAAACUGCCUGAUGGAGGGGGAUAACUACUGGAAACGGUGGCUAAUACCGCAUAACGUCGCAAGACCAAAGAGGGGGACCUUCGGGCCUCUUGCCAUCAGAUGUGCCCAGAUGGGAUUAGCUAGUUGGUGAGGUAACGGCUCACCAAGGCGACGAUCCCUAGCUGGUCUGAGAGGAUGACCAGCCACACUGGAACUGAGACACGGUCCAGACUCCUACGGGAGGCAGCAGUGGGGAAUAUUGCACAAUGGGCGCAAGCCUGAUGCAGCCAUGCCGCGUGUAUGAAGAAGGCCUUCGGGUUGUAAAGUACUUUCAGCGGGGAGGAAGGUGUUGUGGUUAAUAACCGCAGCAAUUGACGUUACCCGCAGAAGAAGCACCGGCUAACUCCGUGCCAGCAGCCGCGGUAAUACGGAGGGUGCAAGCGUUAAUCGGAAUUACUGGGCGUAAAGCGCACGCAGGCGGUCUGUCAAGUCGGAUGUGAAAUCCCCGGGCUCAACCUGGGAACUGCAUUCGAAACUGGCAGGCUUGAGUCUUGUAGAGGGGGGUAGAAUUCCAGGUGUAGCGGUGAAAUGCGUAGAGAUCUGGAGGAAUACCGGUGGCGAAGGCGGCCCCCUGGACAAAGACUGACGCUCAGGUGCGAAAGCGUGGGGAGCAAACAGGAUUAGAUACCCUGGUAGUCCACGCCGUAAACGAUGUCUACUUGGAGGUUGUGCCCUUGAGGCGUGGCUUCCGGAGCUAACGCGUUAAGUAGACCGCCUGGGGAGUACGGCCGCAAGGUUAAAACUCAAAUGAAUUGACGGGGGCCCGCACAAGCGGUGGAGCAUGUGGUUUAAUUCGAUGCAACGCGAAGAACCUUACCUGGUCUUGACAUCCACAGAACUUUCCAGAGAUGGAUUGGUGCCUUCGGGAACUGUGAGACAGGUGCUGCAUGGCUGUCGUCAGCUCGUGUUGUGAAAUGUUGGGUUAAGUCCCGCAACGAGCGCAACCCUUAUCCUUUGUUGCCAGCGGUUAGGCCGGGAACUCAAAGGAGACUGCCAGUGAUAAACUGGAGGAAGGUGGGGAUGACGUCAAGUCAUCAUGGCCCUUACGACCAGGGCUACACACGUGCUACAAUGGCGCAUACAAAGAGAAGCGACCUCGCGAGAGCAAGCGGACCUCAUAAAGUGCGUCGUAGUCCGGAUUGGAGUCUGCAACUCGACUCCAUGAAGUCGGAAUCGCUAGUAAUCGUGGAUCAGAAUGCCACGGUGAAUCCGUUCCCGGGCCUUGUACACACCGCCCGUCACACCAUGGGAGUGGGUUGCAAAAGAAGUAGGUAGCUUAACCUUCGGGAGGGCGCUUACCACUUUGUGAUUCAUGACUGGGGUGAAGUCGUAACAAGGUAACCGUAGGGGAACCUGCGGUUGGAUCACCUCCUUACCUGAAAGAA
rnacentral:rRNA from 1 species